GGCCUCAUGGGACAGCCAGGAAAACCAGGGAUUGAGGGCCCACGUGGAUCCCCAGGUGUAUCCGGCCCUCCCGGAGUUCCAGGAAGAGAGGGCUCCCCUGGUAGACCAGGACCUCCAGGCCCUGCCGGACCUCCAGGUGAACCAG